UACGUAGGGUGCAAGCGUUAAUCGGAAUUACUGGGCGUAAAGCGUGCGCAGGCGGUUUUGUAAGUUUGUCGUGAAAGCCCCGGGCUCAACCUGGGAAUUGCGAUGAAGACUGCAAGGCUUGAAUCUGGCAGAGGGGGGUAGAAUUCCACGUGUAGCAGUGAAAUGCGUAGAGAUGUGGAGGAACACCGAUGGCGAAGGCAGCCCCCUGGGUCAAGAUUGACGCUCAUGCACGAAAGCUAGGGGAGCAAACAGG
rnacentral:rRNA from 1 species